rnacentral:rRNA from 1 species
AGUGAACGCUGGCGGUAGGCCUAACACAUGCAAGUCGAACGGCAGCACAGGAGAGCUUGCUCUCUGGGUGGCGAGUGGCGGACGGGUGAGGAAUACAUCGGAAUCUACUCUGUUGUGGGGGAUAACGUAGGGAAACUUACGAUAAUACCGCAUACGACCUACGGGUGAAAGCAGGGGACCUUCGGACCUUGCGCGAUUGAAUGAGCCGAUGUCGGAUUAGCUAGUUGGCGGGGUAAAGGCCCACCAAGGCGACGAUCCGUAGCUGGGCUGAGAGGAUGAGCGGCCACACUGGAACGGAGACACGGUCCAGACUCCUAGGGGAGGCAGCAGUGGGGAAUAUUGGACAAUGGGCGCAAGCCUGUUCCAGCCAUACCGCGUGGGUGAAGAAGGCCUUCGGGUUGUAAAGCCCUUUUGUUGGGAAAGAAAUCCAGCUGGCUAAUACCCGGUUGGGAUGACGGUACCCAAAGAAUAAGCGCCGGCUAACUGCGUGCCAGCCGCCGCGGUAA